UACGAAGGGGGCUAGCGUUGCUCGGAAUCACUGGGCGUAAAGCGUGCGUAGGUGGUUUGUUAAGUCUGAUGUGAAAGCCCUGGGCUCAACCUGGGAAUUGCAUUGGAUACUGGCAGGCUAGAGUGCGGUAGAGGAUGGCGGAAUUCCCGGUGUAGCAGUGAAAUUCGUAGAUAUUCGCAAGAACACCAGUGGCGAAGGCGGCUCACUGGCCCGGUACUGACGCUGAGGUGCGAAAGCGUGGGGAGCAAACAGGG
rnacentral:rRNA from 1 species